rnacentral:miRNA from 1 species
UGGUAUAUUGGUUGAUGCACACUGCAAAGAAGGGAGGACAAAAGAUGCGGAAGAUGUGAUUGAAAUUAUGAUCCGGAAAGGUGUAACUCCGAAUGUAAUCACCUACAGUACACUUAUGGAUGGAU